AAAUUGUGAUGGAUAUCCGUGUAGAUGAAGAAUACAUCCCAUAUGUACAGAUUGUUCCAGGAAUGGUAUAAAGCAGCAUCAUUUUCGUUGGACUGGUUAUCUCUCAGAUCCUAAUGACACAGACACAGGGUUCCGUGCACUCUACAUAACCAAAGUCUCUGUGACCAGAUUCCAGUCCAUUGCUGUGUACAAAGGCCUCUCCUCAGUCAAUCAGUUGAUCAGCACCACGUACAGUAUAUGUACAAAGUACAAGGUACAAUUGUGUUCUCAGGGCCAACAGAAAUUACAUGAUUC